rnacentral:rRNA from 1 species
UACGUCCCUGCCCUUUGUACACACCGCCCGUCGCUACUACCGAUUGAAUGGCUCAGUGAGGCCUCCGGACUGGCUCGAAGAGGUUGGCAACGACCACUUCGAGCCGGAAAGUUCGUCAAACUCGGUCAUUUAGAGGAAGUAAAAGUCGUAACAAGGUUUCCGUAGGUGAACCUGCGGAAGGAUCAUUACCUAGAGUUGUAGGCUUUGCCUACCAUCUCUUACCCAUGUCUUUUGAGUACCUUCGUUUCCUCGGCGGGUCCGCCCGCCGAUUGGACAAACUUAACCCUUUGUAAUUGAAAUCAGCGUCUGAAAAAACAUAAUAGUUACAACUUUCAACAACGGAUCUCUUGGUUCUGGCAUCGAUGAAGAACGCAGCGAAAUGCGAUAAGUAGUGUGAAUUGCAGAAUUCAGUGAAUCAUCGAAUCUUUGAACGCACAUUGCGCCCCUUGGUAUUCCAUGGGGCAUGCCUGUUCGAGCGUCAUUUGUACCUUCAAGCUCUGCUUGGUGUUGGGUGUUUGUCUCGCCUUUGCGUGUAGACUCGCCUUAAAACAAUUGGCAGCCGGCGUAUUGAUUUCGGAGCGCAGUACAUCUCGCGCUUUGCACUCAUAACGACGACGUCCAAAAAGUACUUUUUACACUCUUGACCUCGGAUCAGGUAGGGAUACCCGCUGAACUUAAGCAUAUCAAUAAGCGGAGGAAAAGAAACCAACAGGGAUUGCCCUAGUAACGGCGAGUGAAGCGGCAACAGCUCAAAUUUGAAAUCUGGCGUCUUUGGCGUCCGAGUUGUAAUUUGCAGAGGGCGCUUUGGCAUUGGCAGCGGUCCAAGUUCCUUGGAACAGGACGUCA